rnacentral:lncRNA from 1 species
CUAGCUACCACUAGACAUGAUGUGCAAGUUUAAUUUCGAGGAUGAAUAUGAUCUGAUCUAUGACCCAAGAGAUUUAUGAUAGAUUGAUUUAAAGUGCUAUUUAUUUCAGAUUAGAUCUGAUUUAAUUAGAGUUAAUUUAAUUAGGUUAAAAAUCUAAGUUAGACUUAGAUCUGAAUCCUAAUUAGAUUGAGAUUAACAACCUACUCAAAUUUGGUUCGAAUCAAGUUUGAAUUGGAUUUGAUUUUAGCUCAAUUUGGAUUAGAUCCAAAGAGUCCAAAAAACUUAGGAUGCUCUCUCAUCAUUGGCCAAC